rnacentral:rRNA from 1 species
UACAGAGGGGGCAAGCGUUGUUCGGAAUUACUGGGCGUAAAGGGCGCGUAGGCGGCCUGCUAAGUCGAACGUGAAAUCCCCGGGCUCAACCCGGGAACUGCGUCCGAUACUGACAGGCUUGAAUCCGGGAGAGGGAUGUGGAAUUCCAGGUGUAGCGGUGAAAUGCGUAGAUAUCUGGAGGAACACCGGUGGCGAAGGCGACAUCCUGGACCGGUAUUGACGCUGAGGCGCGAAAGCCAGGGGAGCAAACGGG